UACGUAGGGGGCAAGCGUUAUUCGGAUUUACUGGGUGUAAAGGGAGCGUAGACGGCAUAGCAAGUCUGAAGUGAAAGCCCGUGGCUCAACCGCGGAACUGCUUUGGAAACUGUUAAGCUGGAGUACUGGAGAGGCAAGCGGAAUUCCUAGUGUAGCGGUGAAAUGCGUAGAUAUUAGGAGGAACACCAGUGGCGAAGGCGGCUUGCUGGACAGAGACUGACGUUGAGGCUCGAAAGCGUGGGGAGCAAACAGG
rnacentral:rRNA from 1 species